AUUGAACGCUGGCGGCAGGCCUAACACAUGCAAGUCGAGCGAGCGGCGGACGGGUGAGUAAUGUCUGGGACCUGCCUGAUGGAGGGGGAUAACUACUGGAAACGGUAGCUAAUACCGCAUACUAUCGGAUAACCCAUAUGGGAUUAGCUAGUAGGUGGGGUAAAGGCUCACCUAGGCGACGAUCCCUAGCUGGUCUGAGAGGAUGAUCAGCCACACUGGGACUGAGACACGGCCCAGACUCCUACGGAGGCAGCAGUGGGGAAUAUUGGACAAUGGGCGCAAGCCUGAUGCAGCCAUGCCGCGUGUAUGAAGAAGGCCCUAGGGUUGUAAAGUACUUUCAGUCGGGAGGCGUUACCGACAGAAGAAGCACCGGCUAACUCCGUGCCAGCAGCCGCGGUAAUUC
rnacentral:rRNA from 1 species